GACGAACGCUGGCGGCGUGCUUAACACAUGCAAGUCGAACGGAAAGGCCCUGCUUUUGUGGGGUGCUCGUGUGGCGAACGGGUGAGUAACACGUGAGUAACCUGCCCCUGACUUUGGGAUAUCUCUAGGAAAAUGGGGCUAAUGCCGGAUAUGAGCUUCUGCUGCAUGGGGGGGGUUGGAAAGUUUCGGCGGUUGGGGCUGGACUCGCGGCUUACCAGCUUGUUGGUGGGGUAGUGGCUGACCAAGGCUUUGACGGGUAGCCGGCCUGGGAGGGUGACCGGCCACAUGGGUACUGAGGUAGGGCCCAGACGCCAACGGGAGGCAGCAGUGGGGAAUAUUGCACAAUGGGCGGGAGCCUGAUACAGCAACGCCGCGUGCGGGAUGACCGCCUUCGGGUUGUAAACCGCUUUCGCCGGUGACGAAGCGUGAGUGACGGUAAUUGGUAAAGAAGCACCGGCUAACUACGUG
rnacentral:rRNA from 1 species